rnacentral:pre_miRNA from 1 species
UCCAGGUGUUAUUAACUUGUCUUCAAAUUCUGUAUUACCUUGCAGCGGAUUGAGAUGCUGGAUUCGGUAAUACAGAAUUCGGAGACAACUUAAUAACAACUGGA